rnacentral:misc_RNA from 1 species
AUAAUUUCCUUCGGAUUGAGCAGACAUUCGUUACGGUCGUCAUUCGAUUCAAAGAAUCUCCGUUCCAGAACCGUACGUGAGAUUUUCAUCUCAUACGGCUCCUCCCUUAUGUUCAUAAUGAGAAUAAUACAUAACAUAGAAUAAAAAGGGGAGUGAAAUAUUCUCAUUAUGAACUGAGCGGGGCUAGUGUUUUUACAAGAAAUCUCUAGCCAACCUUCCUGCAAAAGAUCUUUUCUUAACAUCAAGCAUGUUGAUACUAGAUAAAAAUAUUAAGUUAACUCCAACAAUUUCUUUGUC